UACGGAGGGGGCUAGCGUUGCUCGGAAUUACUGGGCGUAAAGCGCACGUAGGCGGCUUUGUAAGUUAGAGGGGAAAGCCCGGAGCUCAACUCCGGAACUGCCUUUAAGACUGCAUCGCUUGAACGUCGGAGAGGUAAGUGGAAUUCCGAGUGUAGAGGUGAAAUUCGUAGAUAUUCGGAAGAACACCAGUGGCGAAGGCGACUUACUGGACGACUGUUGACGCUGAGGUGCGAAAGCGUGGGGAGCAAACAGG
rnacentral:rRNA from 1 species